GUUGUGGCAGGGCCUGAUGUUUGCCCCGGAUCAGUGUCUGGAUUCUGCUCACUUCUACUGCCUUUGCCUGACAAUGCUUAGAAUGAAAUGCGAUGGAAGGCUCUUGAAGGUGCCACUCACUGCAGGUCUUGCUCAAGUUUUCUGAUUGGUGCAACUUAAAUCACACCCAAAAUACCGGCUGUGGGAGAGCUCUGAGAUUUCAUCUUUCCAGCCUCUGUGUGCUGCAUGGGGUUUGGAGCAUUUGCCAACAAGCCAAUCCACUGUAUUCACCAUUGACAACUUGUGGAUGAAGAGCCAGAGUUCGCCGAGGUCGAUGCUGAUGGCCAGUGGCCUGGUGUGUGUGUUAACAGGACAUCAAUGCCCUCAGAGCCUGAGACCACUAUAAGUCACUCAUCAAGUCAUUUGCCCAGAUGGAACUGGACAGAAAUUCUGUCCAUAAGGCCCUUAGAAACCCUCUAAGUGGGAUAUCAGCGAGGACUGUACCAGAAGCUGCUUUCUCUGUAGUCAGGUAGAUGAGCCCAGAAAUAACCACUGCUUAUGGCUUGCGCUGUAUCCCUCUAGGUGUUUUUCUGUGUGUGUGUGUGUGUGUGUGUGUGUGUGUGUGUGUGUGUGUGUAGAGAGAGGGUGUAUGUUUUAUAAAUGGGAUUGUACUACACAUUAGUCCAACACUUAUUCAUUUCACUUUAUCCUUGGAAUGUGAGCUCCAUGAGGACCAAGAUUUUUGUUUAUUUUGCUUGCUAACACAUCUUUUGUCUAUAAUAGAGGGUGAAAAAUGGUCACAUCAUAGUAAAAGCUCAAUAAAUAUUUGUUGAAUGAAUGAAGAAAUAUGUCUGAGACAUCUUUACAUUUCAACAUUAGAGACAUGAUUCCUUUUUGUAAAGGUUACUUAAAUGCUUUGAUUUAUGUAGCCAUACUUCACUGUUAGAUUUUAGGUUGUUUGGGGUAAACAAUACGGUGAAGAUCCUUGUACCGUUUUUUGAUCACUAAAGGAACUAUUUCUGCAUGAGGAUGUAUCAAGAUUCAUUUGCAAAUAUGAGAGAUCACUGUAGUUAAGCAGAAAGGGAUUUCAUACAGGGUAUUUGGUACUGGAAGGGCUGGAGAAGGCAGUAGGCACCACUGAGCUUCCAGGAAGGGUUUCCAGAAUAUCUCAAUGCUGGCCCAUUAGAGGAGCUUCUGUUCCUGCCAGAAUCAGGAAAUAUUUCUGUAGGUACAUGCCAGGACCACCACUACUGCCAAGAUCUAGGAUCAGCUUCACAGCCUACUCUCAUUAGCUUAGGCAGAAAGGUGUUCAAUGGCUUGCAGAAUUGUUGGGAGGACUGAGUGGUUUAUAAAUUGGAUUUAUUUAUAAAUAAUAGUACAGUUCAUGCCCGCAAACUAUGCUUUAUGCCUGUCUCAUACUACCCAGAAGAUGAUGGAACGGACCCCAGAACCUCCACUUUCCUGCCACAGAACAGCAAAUGCCUUCCCAGCCAUGCUUGACAGGGGAAGCAGCAGAAAGACAGCCUUACACUCCCUUAUACCUUUCCGGUCCUCUGAGCGGGGCCUGUUUGACAGAAACUAGGCUACUUGUUGAGCCAAGCUUUAAGGACUUUGGCAAAUACACCCUUUAGCUUUCCAGUCUCUUAUAAGUCAGUAAGUCACUGUACAAAGAGACGAGCAUAGAGUCCAGUGAGCCCAUCCUGAGAUCGAUUCCUAGAAAAGGAAAAUGGAGUCUUAGAAAAGGAAGUGUAUUUGACCUGUCCUGGCACAUUGAAAAACUUGAUGGAUGCAUUGACCUUCAAUUGACCCUCCUACUCACAGUAUGCAAGGUAGUUUUCCCAGAAUUUUCACACUCUAGACAUUAUAAAGCUUAAGUAAAUGAACAAUAAUAUCUUGAUCUACUUUGUGCAUCAGUAAGGCUGAGCACUUCUUCACAUAACAUAUAACAUAUAGUCUCUAAACUGUAGACGAUUUAUCUGCCUUCUGUAUGUGUAAAUGAAAACUUACAUACUUUGCCUGUAUUUCUUUUGAGGUAUUAGUGUUUUUCCUGUUUGUAAAAAAUCUUGAUAUAU